GUAUUCUUAUGUCUUAUCAGAUUAAAGAAGAGUUGAUCGUCAUCUGAUGUCCGUCUGAUCGUUAAAAAAAAAAAAAAAACCGCAGACUACAACUGUUGCACCUGUUCGCCCACGUGACUAUCUUUGUUGCGCUAAGUAGCAUCAAUGCAUUAGCAGCGCGAGCUAAUAUAUUUAAACCGCGGGAUCCAUGUGAUAUAUCUACAGGAGUCUGCAGUUGCGUCACCUGCUCCGCUCUCUUUCUCAGUGGGACUCUGGAACUGCCAGUCAGCUGUGAACAAAGCUGACUUCAUUCCAGCCUUCGCCACACAGUCCACCCUCAGCAUCCUGGCACUAACAGAAACAUGGAGACGUCCAGAGGAUACAGCAACACCUGCUGUUCUCUCCAACAACAACAACAACUCUCACAUCCCUCGAUCCACAGGUUUGACCGGUUUCAUUUCACUUGGAAAGACUUAGCACCACAGCAACUCACAGAUUGGGCAACCAGCUGGACCUCAUUUGUACAGGUUCUUGGACUAUUUGAAGACAAGGCUGGAUCUGGAGCAGACAAACCCACAGCUCCGUAACAAAUGACAGAUUUACAAGGAGAUGCUGGAAACCCCGCGCGAGCCUGGUUCAAAGUCCAAUUCACAGGCGGUGUGCGAAAGAAAGUACGAUCGAUUUGUUGAGGGCUCACGCAGCGUCAAGAGAGUGCCGGGAGAUUUUGAGGGUUGCGAAGGCAGACUACCUAAACAUCUUCGUGCAGUUCAUCUCGGGUGCCGAGGUGGACAAUAUCGACAAGACGACGUCACUACUGCGAAGCGAUCGUGGUCUUCUGUCAUUUUCAGCGCCCAGGAGCUGUGGAAGGCUUGACUGUCUCAGAGGUGGUGAACAGGAAGGCAUCUAAUGGCAGGCUCGUGGCUGGCAUCAGCUAACGCAAAACGGCGACCAUGCAGAUCGUUGCAUUUGCCUUGACGCAGGAGGAGGACGCUUGAUUUCGGGUGUACUAAUGAGAGAACAACACCUCUGUCUCCAUGUUCUCUCCUCUGACUGACACCGAGGUCUCUAAACUCCUCCUCUCCAACCACCCCACCACCUGUUCCCUUGACCCCAUUCCUUCUCACCUUCUCCAGAACAAGCUGCUGGAUGACAAUCGGUCAGGCUUCAGAAGUGGACACUCCACCGAGACUGCCCUGCUGUCGCUGAGACAGGCGAAAGCGGAAUCCAGAUCAUCCGUCCUGAUUAUGCUGGACCUUUCUGCAGCCUGCAUCAUUACCACGUUGGUGGAAUGACCUUCCCAACUCCAUACAUGAAGCUGACUCCCUUUCUGUCUUUGAAAAAUGGCUAAAAUCACAUCUUUUCCAUGAACACUUAACCAGUCACAAAAAAAACAUUUUUUGUAGAACUUUAAUCACUUUACGUUACUAUUCAGAUGAUAGUCAAUCUUUGUAAUAUGGCACUUUUUGUACCACUGGCUCCUUAAGAUGAUUAGCAUAUGUUUGCCUCUUUUGUAAGUCGCUUUGGAUAAAAGCGUCUGCCAAGUA